rnacentral:rRNA from 1 species
UACGUAGGGUGCGAGCGUUGUCCGGAAUUACUGGGCGUAAAGGGCUCGUAGGCGGCCAACUAAGUCGGACGUGAAAUCCCUCAGCUUAACUGGGGAACUGCGUCUGAUACUGGAUGGCUUGGAUUCGGGAGAGGGAUGCGGAAUUCCAGGUGUAGCGGUGAAAUGCGUAGAUAUCUGGAGGAACACCGGUGGCGAAGGCGGCAUCCUGGACCGAUAUUGACGCUGAGGAGCGAAAGCCAGGGGAGCAAACGGG